rnacentral:rRNA from 1 species
UACGUAGGGGUCGAGCGUUGUCCGGAGUUACUGGGCGUAAAGCGUGUGCAGGCGGCUCACUGCGCCCGGCGUGAAAGCCCCCGGCUCAACCGGGGAGAGUCGUCGGGGACGGGUGAGCUUGAGGGUAUCAGGGGCUGGUGGAAUUCCCGGUGUAGUGGUGAAAUGCGUAGAGAUCAGGAGGAACACCGGUGGCGAAGGCGGCCAACUGGGCCGUCACUGACGCUGAGGCGCGAAAGCUCGGGGAGCGAACGGG